rnacentral:tRNA from 2 species
GGGGAAAUAUCCUAAUUGGUAAGGAGUUUGCUUUGGGUGCAAAAAGCUAUUGGUUCGAGUCCGAUUUUCCCCA